rnacentral:rRNA from 1 species
GACAGAGGGUGCAAACGUUGUUCGGAAUUACUGGGCGUAAAGCGCGUGUAGGCGGCUAAGUAAGUCGGGCGUGAAAUCCCACGGCUCAACCGUGGAAGUGCACUCGAAACUGCAUAGCUAGAGUCCUGGAGAGGAAGGUGGAAUGCUUGGUGUAGAGGUGAAAUUCGUAGAUAUCAAGCGGAACACCGGUGGCGAAGGCGGCGUCGUGGACCGGCAUUGGACGCUGAGGAGGCGAAAAGCCCAGGGGGAGCAAAGCGGG